rnacentral:rRNA from 1 species
UACGUAGGGCGCAAGCGUUGUCCGGAAUUAUUGGGCGUAAAGAGCUCGUAGGCGGUUUGUCACGUCGGCUGUGAAACCCUGGGGCUCAACCCCGGGCCUGCAGCCGAUACGGGCUGACUAGAAUUCGGUAGGGGGGUCUGGAAUUCCUGGUGUAGCGGUGAAAUGCGCAGAUAUCAGGAGGAACACCGGUGGCGAAGGCGGUUCUCUGGGCCUGUACUAACGCUGAGGAGCGAAAGCGUGGGGAGCGAACAGG